GUCUGUGAGCAGGGCCAGGUGUGUCUGUGAGCCGGGCCAGGUGUGUCUGUGAGCCGGGCCAGGUGUGUCGGUGAGCAGGGCCAGGUGUGUCUGUGAGCAGGGCCAGGUGUGUCUGUGAGCCGGGCCAGGUGUGUCGGUGAGCAGGGCCAGGU